rnacentral:rRNA from 1 species
CUAAGAAUCUUCCGCAAUGGACGAAAGUCUGACGGAGCGACGCCGCGUGGAUGAUGAAGGCGCUUUGCGUUGUAAAGUCCUUUUAUAGAGGAAGAACCAUGACUGUACUCUAUGAAUAAGCAUCGGCUAAUUACGUGCCAGCAGCCGCGGUAAUACGUAAGAUGCAAGCGUUAUCCGGAAUUACUGGGCGUAAAGGGUGCGCAGGCUGUUAAUUAAGUCGGGUGUGAAAUCCCACGGCUCAACCGUGGAACUGCGCCCGAAACUAAUUAGCUAGAGUCUGGGAGAGGAAGACGGAAUUCCUGGUGUAGGAGUGAAAUCAUAGAUACCAGGAAGAACACCGGUGGCGAAGGCGGUCUUCUGGCCUAAGACUGACGCUAAAGCACGGAAAGUGUGGGGAGC